rnacentral:lncRNA from 1 species
AGGAAAUUAAAACCUAUAGCAUUUAUUAUUCACACAAGGUAUUCUAUUUUGACCAAUGAAAAAUAGAGAACAUGUAUAUAAUUUCUUAGAGGGAAAAACAAAAAUAGAGAGAAUCUCUUAAGUGAUCUCUUGUUAUGUGGUUUGAAGGUUCAGAAAAGCUUGAAGCUGAAAAUUGAAGCACAAGGAAAGUACCUAGAUAGAAUUGGACAGAGUAGUCAGAUCAAAACAAUUACAAGAAAAGCAUGCAAGUCUUUUGUGGGUAGAGCUAUACCUCUACCCUCUCUUUCUGAGGAAUCUGAAUCCUUAAAAACACAAUCCGAGGAAGAACAUCAAACAGCCAAAAAGAAAACGAUAACCGAUGAUGAUGAUGACAGUGUUUCUCCUGCAGAUUUUGAACUAGGAUCAUCAUCCACAAUCUCAGAAUUCUGC